AAGUCGUAACAAGGUUUCCGUAGGUGAACCUGCGGAAGGAUCAUUACCGAUGAGUAUUGUUACUCUGAGGUUUGAGAGGGGAAGUCGCCUAGCUGAAGUUUUGACUGAGGCUAAGAGAGCUACUGCGCUAUAGUCAGCCGCAAGGGACGUGUUGUCUCUCGGUGAUGGGCGACGCUUGACUGCAGUAACUCUCGAACCGUAACCAAACUGAGACGUUUUUCUUUUGAAUAUCCACUAAAAGUACAACUACAAGCGGUGGAUCACUCGGCUC
rnacentral:misc_RNA from 1 species